GCCAGUGUGGCAUAGUGGUUUAAGUGCUGGCCUACAACUUUGGAGACCAGGGUUCAAUUCCCCGCUCAGCCA